GACGAACGCUGGCGGCGUGCUUAACACAUGCAAGUCGAACGGAAAGGCCCUGCUUUUUUUGGGUUCUCUAGUGGCGAACGGGUGUGUAACACUUGAUUAACCUGCCCUUGACUUUGUUAUAACUUCAGUAAACUGGUGCUUAUACCUGCUAGUAGCUCCUGCUGCAUGUUGGUUUUUUGAAAGUUUCGGCGGUUGGGUAUGGACUCGCUGCUUAUCAGCUUGUUGGUGGUGUAGUGGCUUACCAAGGCUUUGACGGGUAGCCGGCAUGAGAGGGUGACCGGCCAAAUUGGGAAGGAGAUACGGACCAGACUCCGACGGGAGGCAGCAGUGGGGAAUAUUGCAAAAUGGGCGGAAGCCUGAUGCAGCAAAGCCGCGUGCGGGAUGACGGACUUCGGGUUGUAAAACGCUUUCGCAUGUGACGAAGCGUGAGUGACGGUAAUGGGUAAAGAAGCACCGGCUAACUACGUG
rnacentral:rRNA from 1 species